rnacentral:rRNA from 1 species
UGGGGAAUAUUGCACAAUGGACGGAAGUUUGAUGCAGCGACGCCGCGUGGAGGGUGUAGGCCUUCGGGUUGUGAACUCCUUUUUCUCGCGAAAAAGGCACAGUUUUGGCUGUGUUGAUGGUAGUGGGGGAAGAAGCGCCGGCUAACUACGUGCCAGCAGCCGCGGUAAUACGUAGGGCGCGAGCGUUGUCCGGAUUUAUUGGGCGUAAAGAGCUCGUAGGUGGUUCGUCGCGUCUGUCGUGAAAGCCAGCAGCUUAACUGUUGGUCUGCGGUGGGUACGGGCGGGCUUGAGUGCGGUAGGGGUGACUGGAAUUCUUGGUGUAGCGGUGGAAUGCGCAGAUAUCAGGAGGAACACCGAUGGCGAAGGCAGGUCACUGGGCCGUUACUGACACUGAGGAGCGAAAGCGUGGGGAGCGAACAGG